AUGGAUAUUGAAAAGCCCAGUUUUGGAGAGUGGCCGAAAGGGACGAAUAUGGAGGGACGAAACCGCGCUGCGGGCGGCGAACCUUCACCGUGUGCAGGGAUUCCGGCACUGCUCUGGCGCGGCGCGAAAAUACCGGAUCGGACUGCUAGAGCAACACCCCCCUUAGGCCUAUUACACAACCAGGUCGAGGCAACCGUUGCAAGUACCAUGCCCUGUAAAAAAUUAUUGCAUGCUGCCGAUGUAAGGUCAAAAAGUCUGAACUGGGAGGAGGGGGGGGGGAAGUGAUUGAUUACAUUUCAAAGCAGCUGGUACUACCUAGCUACCUCACUGCAAAAAAUCUGUAAGUUUUUGCCCCUUUUUAGUUUUUUGUGAAUAAAAACACUAACCCUUCUAGCACGAUAUAAGUUUUGUAAUAGUCAAAAAUCUACCACACUCUUCAUCCGACAGGCGCAGCUGCAUGUGACCUUAAUCCGGAAGCAUUUAAGUUGAUUUUGGGCAUCUUUUUUCUCCAGCACAAAAUUUCGUUCAGGGAUGGAUGAUCAAUCCAAAAUCCCGAGACUCGAUUCCCUGGCUCGAUUCGAGGCUUGAUUCCCCCCAAGUAGCAUUGUCAUCUACUUUCUAGGUGGCGCUCAUCAAGAAAAUGUCUACUUUCUAGAUAGAACAAUUUUCUUGAAAGAAAAUAGGUAUUAAGUAGAUCUAGAAAAUAGACACAAGAAAAAAGAAAGAAAAUACAUUUUUUCCUUGCAUUUUCUUGAAAGAAAACAUUAAGAAAUUGGCAAGAAAAUAAUUCUACUUCCACUAAAUUUUCUAUCUUUUUUUUAAAUGGAAAGUUGACAGAAAGUAGACUUAUGAAAUAGAUCUAUUUUUUUUGGUCAGACUUUUGACUCGCAAUGUUUUUUCUUUCUAUUUUCUAGAUAACUCUCAUUUUCUUGGUAUUUUCUAGAAGUUUUCUUCAUAUUUUUUUUCUAGAAAAAAAUUCUAUUUUGCUACUUGGGCCUGACGACGUAAACACUGCCGUGCUAAGGAAGAAAGCCGUAUGAACCUUUAGGCGUUGCCAAAUUUCCUUCGGAAAAUCACCAAUUUUCGGGAAAAUUUAUAAAGAUUUUUUCUCCAAUUUUUCGAUAAUUUUUUCUCAAUUUCACAUAUAAAGUUCCUGAAAAUUUCAAGAAGAAAUUUCAUUACUUUCUUCAAAAAUAACUAUUUUCCGAGAGGAAUUUGGCAACUCUCAAAUGUUCCAUACCACUCGGGGUUUUUGAGCGCUAAAUAAACUCCGGCACCAAAUUUCUUUCCUCACUUCUUAACCGUGUUAUUCGGUGUAACUUCCUCGUGUUUAUAGAUAAAAUAAUAAUUUUCUAAGAGCAUCGCUACUGUAUUUUCUAGGCGGAUAACCCGAUGUUGAGGUAAAAAAUAACCUAAUUUACGAAAGUUAGUCCGAACUCCGAAGUGCAUUUUUGCAAAGUCAAGGGUUCUCUCAUUAUUAUUCUUGGCUCCAGCGGUCUCACCAUUUUGAAAGCGUGCUGAGCUUCUGUUGGUGAAUGAAGGAAUUAUAGCUUUCAGGAGAAGGGAUUGAGCUUUUCUUGACUGCAGUAGUGGCUGACUCACUCCCCUUUCCGUGCCACCCCCAUUCCUCCGCCUUUACGCCACCCUUCGCUGCUCUACUCUCACCGUUUUCCAUAUAGCCAAACGGGGAUGGGGUUGUAACCUAUGCCAAGUUUUUAACGUGCCGGAUUAACGCCAGGACUGCUCGCAACUAGUUCCCACCGUUCCACUAGAAAAAGAGGGUUUUUGGGAAUCCAAAAAGUAUUUUUUAGGCUUAAAAUUUUUCGUAGCGAAAAUUUUAUAAAAAUUAUUUAAACGGGUUGAUCAUGAUUUUCCAAAAACCGCAGGACAUAAAAUAAAAAUUUUCUUUUUUUACUACGGGUUGAAUGAUAGCACAGUGCAAGUCCCAAGAUUUUUCCACGAUAACAUGUAAAGCAUGUAGCAGAUAUCAGCUCUACAAAUAAAAACGGGGCCGGUUAUUCAUUUUAACUCAUUGAAAACAGAGUGUUUAACGCUCAUAAUGACACUCGCAAGACUCCAAAACUAUGAGACGUCACUACACCAAAAAUUUCGCUCUUUCUUUCCUUUUUUCGUUAUUAUCUAUAGUUUAAUAUAUCGCUCGCAAAACUCCACUAAUCCACAUGAGCUUAUAACUUCCUUGUUUCGAAGCAACGCAAACAAAUGAGUAGACAUGUUGCAUAAUUUUACAUAAGAUAUUAACUAUUUUGGGUCAUAUGUAGAAUUUUCAAAACAAAACAAAUUUUUUUUUCAGAGUGUUAAUCCACGAAUGAGGAAAGUGAUAUGCGAAAUUGCUCAAAAGGAAGUACAGUAUAGAAAUAAUACUCCAACUGAGCAUACUUACCGUUCCAAAAUGUUUUCAUCAUGCAUUCCGAAUACCUUAAAUGUAUGUUGUAAAAAAAACCUAACAAAGAUAAUUUGCACUGGAUUAAAAUUUUAAAAUGUGUACAUUUUAAUUGAACCCUCUCCAUUACCAGGUCACCGCCCUCGGUUCUUUAUACGUAUAGAUUUUUGUAAGAAGCCCAAAUAGUACCUCGAAUGAUUCCAAAAAUAGUCUUAAACGCCAAAAUUCGUAAUUAAAACAGUUUUAAGCAAAAUUAAAAUAGGUCACUAGACAAGUUUUGAACUAGAAUACAACGUCACAUGUUUUCUCCUCAAAAUCUCACGUAUUAGAAAAUAUUCGGUAGAAGUUAAUUUGCAAAACUCCUGUUGUGUCAUUUGUUUUGUUUAACUUUUUUUUUUAAGUCCCACCUUAUGGGGUGGUCCAUCCCGUUAAAAAAUCAAUUAGCAUCUCAAAAAAUUUGAUCUCAAUCUCAGAUAACCUUCCAAGCACACAACCCCAUCAACAUUAUGAACAAUUUGUUAGCCCAACUACUUAACCUUGCAUUCGGUUAUCUCAAGAACUUAACCCCACUCGAACUUGAGACAACUUGAGCACCCCAUUGAAGUGGAUCCAAAAAUCAAACAGAAGUUAAGAUUGCACGUACCUGAAACGAAGAAGGGUUAAUCCAAAAUUUGCGUCGGGAAGGUGUAGCCGGGCUGAAGAGGAGGCGGAAAAACUCGUAGCGCACGGAGUAUUGACGAAAUGAAGGCAGGGGAGAGACCUUCGCUGAAGCUCGCGUGUAACGCAGUGCAAGUACGCACUAGCGCGCUUGUGCGCAUGCUCGCGCGCACGGUUUCACGGGGGCCGCUGCUGUGGGGUGGGUAACAAGUGGCACCCCCUCCCUCCCAUCGUGUCGGAUCACAGUGAAUCGAAGAAAGGUCGGACAUGAAAUUAUUGACUGGAACUGCAAAUUUUGAUGUUUAAUUCGUCACAUCUUAAAUUAUAAGGGGUGCAUGUGGAAUAAACUUUCACGAGAAAAUCAAUGAAACCAUUUUCAAAACUUCAGAAUUUUUUAUAAUCGGAGUUAUGAGCUCUUGAAGUUUCCAAAUUUUGUCCGACCUCUCCUAUUGACUUGAUCCAUUGUGCGACGUGGCCGUGUGCCAACCGUCCAUUUAACAUUCUAAUCUACUAUGCUCAGGACACGAAUUUUCUGAAUUAUAGUGUUAUUUUAUGCUCUCAUUUGCACAAAAGUGAAUGGCCGUUUCCAAAUUAUAUAAAGCCAUCAUAUGGUGUUUUCGGUCGAGACCCCAAAAUCUGAUUUUUCGACCCAACGAAACGAAAAUAGCUGAAUCGAAAAAUU
rnacentral:lncRNA from 1 species